GAUGAACGCUGGCGGCGUGCCUAAUACAUGCAAGUCGAGCGAACAGACGAGGAGCUUGCUCCUCUGACGUUAGCGGCGGACGGGUGAGUAACACGUGGAUAACCUACCUAUAAGACUGGGAUAACUUCGGGAAACCGGAGCUAAUACCGGAUAAUAUAUUGAACCGCAUGGUUCAAUAGUGAAAGACGGUUUUGCUUUCACUUAUAGAUGGAUCCGCGCCGCAUUAGCUAGUUGGUAAGGUAACGGCUUACCAAGGCAACGAUGCGUAGCCGACCUGAGAGGGUGAUCGGCCACACUGGAACUGAGACACGGUCCAGACUCCUACGGGAGGCAGCAGUAGGGAAUCUUCCGCAAUGGGCGAAAGCCUGACGGAGCAACGCCGCGUGAGUGAUGAAGGUCUUCGGAUCGGAAAACUCUGUUAUUAGGGAAGAACAAAUGUGUAAGUAACUAUGCACGUCUUGACGGUACCUAAUCAGAAAGCCACGGCUAACUACGUG
rnacentral:rRNA from 1 species